AUUGAACGCUGGCGGCAUGCCUUACACAUGCAAGUCGAACGGCAGCACGGGUGCUUGCACCUGGUGGCGAGUGGCGAACGGGUGAGUAAUACAUCGGAACGUACCUUAUCGUGGGGGAUAACGCAGCGAAAGCUGUGCUAAUACCGCAUACGCCCUGAGGGGGAAAGCGGGGGAUCGAAAGACCUCGCGCGAUUAGAGCGGCCGAUGCCUGAUUAGCUUGUUGGUGGGGUAAAAGCCCACCAAGGCGACGAUCAGUAGCUGGUCUGAGAGGACGAGCAGCCAGACUGGGACUGAGACACGGCCCAGACUCCUACGGGAGGCAGCAGUGGGGAAUUUUGGACAAUGGGGGCAACCCUGAUCCAGCAAUGCCGCGUGAGUGAAGAAGGCCUUCGGGUUGUAAAGCUCUUUUGUCAGGGAAGAAACACCGGCUCUAACGCAGUCCGGGAAUGACGGUACCUGAAGAAUAAGCACCGGCUAACUACGUGCCAGCAGCCGCCGCCG
rnacentral:rRNA from 1 species